AAAGGGAACAGUCCUCAUAGCUCAUAAUCACAAAGGGUGUAUAAGAGCCUCUGUCCUAUGAGUGCCCACAUAUCAUGAGUUCAUGACUUCUAAUUGCCACAGGAAUAGAGUUCUCUGGACAGUCUGGAUGAUGUGCUCACUCCUGGUAAAGCGGAGUUGCCUCCAUUAGGACCACGUGAAGUAGGAUCUGCAAAGAAGAAAGUAGUUGUGUUCCUAGAAGAUGGAGGAAUUCUGGGCAGGCGAAAAACUGGUCGAUGUCAAGAAACAAUGACUGUUUUCAGAAUUAUUUUCUGCUGUCCUCUUUGGGAGGAUUUGCAUUGCCAGACCAGUUGUCUACUAAAGCUAGAUCAUGACAAAUCCUUGACCUCCGGAUAUACACAAAUGCUUAAAAUUCUCUUGGUAAGAGUAGAAGACAGGCAUCCACUCCAUCCAAAGAUGACAUCAAAUAGUCAAGCUGUAAGGUAAGAAGAGUGGUGGAAAAAGAACUCUAAACAAUAUAAUAAUAGUCUAGGGAUGUGGGGAGUAGGUUGAGGAAUAUAGAUGAAAUAAAAAUGUAGAAAGUCGAUCAUUGUUGGAGCUGAAUAAUAAGCACAUGAGAGUUUAUUAUACUAUCCCAUUUUGUUUGCAUAUGUUUGAAUUUUUCCUUCUUACAAGGUAAAUUUUUUUAAAUGGUGGAGAUUGGCAGUGAGUGAUGGCAGAAUGCAUCCUUUUUAAAAUGACAAAUGGAAAUUACUGUUUUAGGUUUCAAGAUGUCAUUCUUCUCAAACUCCUGAAAUAGCAUUACACUAUGGGCUUGGUAUGGAAAUCAGAUGAGAAUCUGUCUUAAACCCAUCCAUCAUAUCCCAUAAUUAACCAAUUACCUGAGUCAAAGGCUAAGGUUAAAAAAUGCAAGUAAUCUUAUAAUUGCCUCAGCAGAUUUUUUUAGAAAGGCAAUAAUAUAUGUUAGUUGCCAUAAUGGAAAUGCCAUGCAUCAGACCUGUCUGCUCCUUGGCUAUGAUUUUGACCUAAGGAUUCCAGAAUUGUAUUCUAUUAAAGAAAACAUUUCUUUUAAAGUGGAUUUGUGUUACAUUAUUGAGUUUACUAUCUUGAGAACACCACAUAUUUCCUUAUUCAAAAAUGAGAUAGACUGUACUUUGAGUUCCACCCAUACGGUUGAAAGGAGAGAGAAAAAAGAAAAGACAGAAGAGUGGGGACCUGGUACCCACUCUUCCAUAGCAGUACCUGUUGUAGUUCUGGAGCUGAAAGAAUCUUCCCAAGGAACUUUAUUUAGCUUAAGCCUUCUAUUUCACUCCAACAUAUGUGUGAGAAAUAGCCAGAUCUAGGGAAAAAACCCUCUAUAAAUUCCAUGGCUCUUGACUUGGUUUAUAGAUAAUAAAACAUGUUUCUGGCAUGUCAACCAGGAAUAAUCUAAGCCUCUAUCUGGCUUUAUUCACCAGCUUUAUUUUUAUUUUUAAAAUUAUUUUAUUUUUUAUUAUUAAAGUAUAGUCGAUUUACAUGCUUAGUCACCAACUUUAUAACUUAUAUAUCCACAUUUUUUCUUUCUUUUUUUUUAAACUAUAUCCAGUGGUCAAAUAUGGGUCCUCUGAGUUGAGUUUAUUAUUUUUGUUAUACUGAAAAGGAUUUAGGUAGGACAUAAGAGGAUUAAUAUUAUAUUUCAGUUUUAUUAAGUUUAGGAGUUUUUUCUUAGGAUUUUCAUUUUGCAUGUCAUCUCACUAGCUUGGCUCUGAUGUAUAAAUAUGUGUGUGUGUGUGUGUGUGUGUGUGUGUAUGUGUGUGUGUUAUGAGUGUGUAUAGUCUACAAAGAGAAAUAUGAACAUACCGAUAUAGUAGGGUCAUGCUCAGCAUAUUAUAAACAUUUUAUCUCUUUUAUUUGAAACGUUUUCCCUCUCAAUGAAUAUUUCUGUCGAUCUGUAUCAUUUGUCUUACCGGCCCCACUGCUGGUUACAAACUCAAGGAAAAAAGAGGAUCAGUAAAUGUCCUCUGAGGGCAGAGUCUCAGCCAGAUGGCUGACCUUCAUGUUCAUCUUUAAUUCCGCCAUAUUGAUUAGAAGCACUACCUUAGAGGAAGAGGAUCUGAGCCUUUUGUCACUCACUGUCUUGUUUCCUUUGUCCUUUGUUUCAGCUUGGUAAUUGAUAUGGUUGGUAUGCCCAGAGGAACUUUUGAGCACUGGGCACAGAUUUUCACAUCCAAAAAUAAACAAAUAAAGAGGUUCCAGCCAAUUCCACUGAGUGGGGAUGCUCAGUACAGUCAAGUGGGAUGUAGCCACACAACAGGAAUGUGUUAAGUUGAUAAAUGUGCUCCUGCAUUGAUGCCUUUGCUUCUGUGCUGCAUUUGGCAGCAAAUACAAACCCUUCCUAACUUAGCAAUUUCAGUUCCUUCCAUUAAACUCCCCAUGUUCAUCUCUUUUGUUUUUCUGACCAUCUGUGCUCAAAGUCCUCUACCAUAAAAUUCACAAAUAUUUUUGCUAAGCUGAACAAAUCAGUUUUUCCAUAAAUCAAAGAAAGAGGUCCUUUUCAAAUCCCCCAAAUUCUGUAAAAUAAGAAUAGAGUACUUAGUUUUUGUGUCCCUUUGGACCUAGAUGUAGCAAAUGAGUCAAAGCAAAAUGUUUUUGGAACAUCAUUGUUUCUUACCAGUUAUAUAGAUAUAUGGUUCUUUCUUGAGUUAUUUAAAACUCAAGAAAUUAUGGUUCAUUUUGUUGCUUAAAGGGAUUUGAGGUUCAUAAUUGCACCACAUAGCCAGUAGUCUAAGUCUCUAAUGCAAAAUAUUACACACUAUAAACAUUCAAAAACAAGUUGAAUGAAUGAAUUAAUAAAUGAACAUUGUAUAUGUCACUGAAUUAUACCUAUUAAAAAAUGCUUAACACUGACCUAGUAUAUCUUAGGCAUCUGAUGAAUAUGAGGUGAUAUUAACAUGCAUAUGUGAACAACUGGAUAAAAUAGAUUUUAUUUCAAUAAUGUUAUUCAUAUAUGUAUUGACUAAACAACUAUUUGUUGAGGAUUCACUCUUUGCCAAGAACAGUGCUAAUACUUGGUGAAAUAGAGAUGUAGUCCCUGAUGUUGCAGAGUUUCAUGCUGUGGGAAUAGUAGACAUUAACACAAUAUUUGCAUUUAGGAUCAUGUGAUGGGGAACAUACUUUGAGAAAGAAACCAUUUUGUGUGAGAGAGUAUGACAAAGAAAUUCUAAUGCUAGAUGUGGACAAAGGCUCAGGAAAGUCUUUCCUACAGAAGCAGUGUUUAAUCUGAGUCCUAAUGGAUAAGCAGGAAAGAUAAUUGGAAAUAAGGUGUCACUGAUGUAGUAUUCUUGACAAAAUGUUUAACCCAAAUCUAAUCUUGAGUGAGAAAACAAUUAAAUCCAUACCGUGCGAAGUUCUCCAAAAUAGAAUGUUGGUGGGGAAAGUGUGGGAGACUUAUGGCUAAGAUAAAAUGGAGUUUCAUAUUAUAACCAGUUGUAUUAGCUAUCUUUUGCUGUGUAAAAAAUUAUUCCAAACCUAGCUGCUUAAAACUAUAAUAAACAUUAAUUAUUAUUUAUUAUCUUAUAGAGUUAUGAGAGUCAAGAAUUCAGGACCAAGCUAGGUGUGCGGUUCUGGCUCCAGUCUCUUUUUCUGUGAGUUUUUUUUUUUUUUUAAGUAUAAUUGACCUGAAGCAAUAUGUCAUUUCCUGUUAUACAACACAAUAAUUUGAUAUUUCUAUACAUUUCAUAAAGAUCUCUAUUAUAAAUCUAGUUAUAAUCUGCCAUCAAAUGAAGAUAUCACAUAAUUAUUGACUAUAUUCCCAACACUGUGCAUUUUGUACCCAUGACUCAUUUAUUGUGCAACUGGGAAUUUGUACCUCUUAAUCUCCCUCACCUAUUUCUCUUGUCUUCCCACCUCCCUUCUCUGUGGCAACCGUCUAUUUGUUCUCUGUAUCUGUGACUGUUUCUGUUUGUUCAUUUGUUUUGUUUUUUAGAUUCCAUAUUUAAAGUGAAAUCAUACAGUAUUUUUCUUUCUCUAUGACAUUUCAUCAACAUAAUACCCUCUAAAUCCAUUACAAUUGUAUCAAAAAGAAUAAAAUACCUAGGAAUAAAUCUAAGUAAGGAAGUAAAAGAUUUGUACUUGGAAAAUGAUAAGACAUUGGUGAAAGAAAUGGAAGAUAAUAUAAAGAGAAAGGUAUACCAUACUCAUGGAUGGAAGAACUAAUAUUGUUAAAAUGACAUACUACCCAAGGUGUCUACAUAUUCAAUUCAAUCCCUAUCAAAAUAUCAAUGGCAUUUUUCAUAGAACUACAACUAAUAAUUCCAAAAUUUGUAUGGAAACACAAAAGACCUCAAAUAGAUAGCUAAAACCAUCUUGAGCAAGAAGAACAAAGCUGGAGGUAUCAUGCUCCCUGAUUUCAAACUAUACUACAAAGCUGCAGUAAUCAAAACAGUAUGAGACUAGCACAAAAACAGAUACAUAGAUCAAUGGAACAGAAUAAAGAGCCCAGAAAUGAACCCAUACUUAUAUGGGCAAUUAACCUAUGAUAAGGGGGGCAAGAAUAUACAGUGGGGGAAAAGAGAGCCUCUUCAAUAAAUGGUAUUGGAAAAACUGGACUACUCUCUCACACAUGUACAAAAAUAAAUUCAAAAUGAAUUAAAGACUUAAACUAAGACUCCAAGCCAUAAAAUUCUAGAGAAAAACAUGGGCAGUACACUGUUUGACAUCAGGUUUAGCAAUAUGUUUUUUGAAUAUGUCUUCUCAGGCAAGGGAAACAAAAGCAAAAGUAAACAAAUGGGACUACAUCAAAUUAAAAAGAUUUUACAUAGAGAAAGAAACUAUCAAGAAAACAAAAAGACCACCUAGUGAAUGGAAGAAGAUAUUUGCAAAUGAUACAUUCAAUAGGGUUAAUAUUCAAAAUGUACAAAGUGCUCAUGAAACUCAACAUUAAAAAAACCAAGCAACCUGAUUAAAAAAUGGGCAGAAGAUCUGAAUAGACAUUUUUCCAAGGAAGACACGCAAAUGUCCAACAGGUACAUGAAAAUAUCCUCAACAUCCCAAAUCAUGAGGGAAAAACAAAUCAAAACCACAAUGCAAUAUCACCUCACACUUGUCAGAAUGGCUAUCAUCAAAAAGAAAAUAAGUGUCGAUGAGGGUAUAGAGGAAAGAGAACACUUCUGAACUGUUGAUGGGAAUAUAAAUUUGUGUAGCCAUUAUGGAAAACAGUAUGGAGAUCCCUCAAAAAAGUAAAAAUAGAACUACCAUAUGAUCCAG
rnacentral:lncRNA from 1 species